CUCUGUGACUCCUACGGGAGGCAGCAGUGGGGAAUAUUGCACAAUGGGCGCAAGCCUGAUGCAGCCAUGCCGCGUGUAUGAAGAAGGCCUUCGGGUUGUAAAGUACUUUCAGCAGUGAGGAAGGUGGGUAUGUUAAUAGCAUACUCAUUUGACGUUAGCUGCAGAAGAAGCACCGGCUAACUCCGUGCCAGCAGCCGCGGUAAUACGGAGGGUGCGAGCGUUAAUCGGAAUUACUGGGCGUAAAGCGCAUGCAGGUGGUUUGUUAAGUCAGAUGUGAAAGCCCCGGGCUCAACCUCGGAAUUGCAUUUGAAACUGGCAAACUAGAGUACUGUAGAGGGGGUAGAAUUUCAGGUGUAGCGGUGAAAUGCGUAGAGAUCUGAAGGAAUACCGGUGGCGAAGGCGGCCCCCUGGACAGAUACUGACACUCAGAUGCGAAAGCGUGGGGAGCAAACAGGAUUAGAUACCCUGGUGG
rnacentral:rRNA from 1 species